AUAUGUUAUUUAAUCAUCUCCCUGCAAGAGGGAGGUUCUGUUAUUAUCCACAUUUUACAGAUGAGAAAACUGAGGCACAGAAUGGAAACUGAGACACAGAUAGGAAGAGGCUGAAGGGGGUUCCGGACCAGAAACAUAAGCUCUUCAGAGCCCAUCCUUGCUCGUUACCUAGUCGAUCCUCCCAAAGAUGCUGUGGAGAUGUCUUGUCCACCACAAUUUGCAGAGAAAGAGACAGGAAGUUAUGGGACCUGUCACCUGGGGGACAGCGGGCAGAGCUGGGAUUCGACACAGGGCCGAAGACUCCCAGCCCGAGGCUCAUGCACUGCACCACCACCACCUCUGGCCUGAGCCCUGAGUCUGCGGGGUUUUCCUGCCUCUCAGUCUGUCUCCUGUCAGCCUCGCUGGGAGUGAAGCCUCAAGAAGAGUGGUAGACAGGGAGCCAGGAGGCCCCAGCUGCCUGGGCGCAGGCCGAGGAGAAGCAGCCCUGGGACCCCCACAGAGCUCCCUGCAUGUGGUCAGAACCCCCUGAAUCAGACCUCUCAGGAGUUGUGUUGAAAAUCCA
rnacentral:antisense_RNA from 1 species